ACACACAGUCGCUCACCCGCGCCGGGCGCCCGCCCGCCGGCCGCUCGGGCUACGCGCAGCGCGCGGGCUGAGCCGACAUAGAGGAAGCCGGCGAGGGCGGAGGCGGCGGCGGCGGCGGAGGAGGAGGAGGUCGCGGCUGCAGGCGCCGCUGGAGCUGCCGCCGGAGCUGCUGCGGCGAGCGCCGCUGGAGGAGCCGGGACCCGGGCCGGAGUCCGAGCAGGAGUCGGGGCCGCAGCCGGAGCGCGAGCGGAGGCCGGGGCCGCCCGCGGCGCCGCCGCUGUCCCGGCGGGAGCCCUCGCCGGGCUCGGGAGUGCGGGGAGCGCGCAGGUAGAUGAAACUCAAGAGAAAAGGUGUGGAUAAAUGAAACUAGCCCAUGAUGAACCUGUUUUCUCCGUGACCACAAUAUUAACCAGGAUGAAUGGCGGUGGCAGUGGGCCUGCAUCACAGGUUGCAGCAGAUGUUCUCAAUAUUUCUAUUAAAAUUUCCUUAUUUCCAUAUGCAAGAGGAGCCCCAGAGCUGCAUCCUUAUGGUAGCUACCAUGCCGUGAUGUAAGCUGCCAUUCACUGGGGAGCUUUGGCAAUAGAAUUGGCUAGAUCAGGAAGCCUAUGUCAACUAUGGAACAACAACUUGCAGCUCAUCUCUAUUGAUGGUGAAACAGUCGCAAAUGGAAUUCCAAGAAACAUUCUAUCAUCAGGUAUUAUCUACUGCUGUCUGCAGAAUUCAGACAUGGAGGGCUCAAUGGUGUCCCCUGGUCUUUGGAACAUUCUGUAUUUUAAUGAUCAUGAUACACUGCCUCUAGGACUGGGACAGAUAGCCACUGAGUACCUGCUUCAAAUCACCCUGCACGUUUUCUCUUUGGAAAGAUAAGCACUGGAGAACCAUCUCGUUACCUUCAGCAGAAAUGGAAACAAAUCAAGACAUUAAGAAUGCCGCAGUGGACAGCAGUUAUGCAAGGUUCAGCAGAGGAAGUUUUCAAGAUGGUGUGCCUCACUAGCCAGAAAUCAGAAAAGAUCGAAGCUAGCCUUUUCAUCUCAGCUGCUCCUUAAAUCAGUGCAACCCCUCCAAAUUAAUGUGAAUUGAAACUUGCAUUGCUUUUCAACUUAAUUGAAUACUUACUAUAUGUGAACCACUGCACAAAAUAGGGGAAGAAGAUGUGGGAGACAAAGAUGUGGAGCCUGUCUUCAAUAAAUUUACAGUUAGUUUCAGGGUACAUUGUUUUUCUUCUGCUGUUAAUUAGGUGUAUCCCCAAGACAAUAAAUACAUGAAUGGAAAAGUAUAUUCUGUGUUUUAAGUCUCUUUAAUAAAAAACAAAACAAAAUCCAAAAAAACUCCUAACAUGGCAACUCAGGACAUUUUAAUCCUUUUUUUUGUUGUUGGGCUUCUGAUAGGAUCCAUUUUAUUGAUUCCAUAAAUAUUUAGUAGACUUUAGACAUAUUAAUACAUUGUAGUUUGAGUUAAUUUGCAUUAAAUUCUGUUUUUUUCCCCUUAGGUAUAGAUUGUCUGUUGGAAAAAUAUAUUGCUUGUGGAUUUCUUGGGGAGUGGGAAGGUGAAUUAUACCUGUUGUCUCUACAGUCCACUACCUUCCACACCCUAGGGCAGUGGUCCCCAACCUUCUUGGCACCAGGGAUCAGUUUCCUGGAAGACAAUUUUUCUGUGGAUGGUGUGGGGAUGGUUUUGGGAUGGAACUGUUCCACCUCAGAUCAUCAGGCAUUAGUUAGGCUCUCAUAACGAGUGCGCAGCCUAGAUCCCUCACAUGCACAGUUCACAGUAGGGUUUGCGCUGCUAUGAGAAUCUAAGGCUGCCACUGAUCUGACAGGAGGCAGAACUCAGGUGGCAAUGCUUACUGGCCCACUGCUCACCUCUUGCUGUGCGGCCUGGUUCCUAAUAGGCCAUGGACCCCCACAGACGGGUACUAGUCUGCAGCCUGUGGACCCCAGCCCUAGGGGCCUGCCAUUCUGAGUGAGUUAUUAGCAUGAAGAAGAGGAAGAUCUGGAUCAAACGUGGGUGAUGGUACUCAGAGACCCAAGAUAGGAUAGGGAUGGAACAAAAUCCAUCUGGGCAACGGCUCUAUGAAAAUUUGGCUAAGUAAUUAUUUCAGUAUUCAUUGUAUUCAUUGUCCUUCGUGUUCCAUAAGUUAAAUGACUGUCUAAUUUUUCCAAAAAUUUAUUUCUGACUUGAGAAUAAGUGUGUCAUGAUUUUCCCAGUGUAAAGACACUGAUAUAACUGUAGAUACCAGACAUUUUAUGUAGUGUCUAUGACACAUUUUAGUAUGUAUGAGCCAACAAUAGACAUGUCUUUGUCUUGAGGAGUGUCCAUCUGAAUUGAAAAUGUGUCAGCUUUUUUUUAACAUCAUCAACAGACUUCUUAAUUAAGCUGCCAAUACAUACUGCCAAUAGCACUGUGUGCUGUCUGAGAAAUGCAUUGUGUAAGUGCUAUUUCCAUCUUAUUAAAUAAACAAUGUUGCUCUGUAUAAACUGGAUUUAAAGUGUUCUUUGAAUGAGGCAUUAUAUUGCUCCAUAAAUAAUGUGAUGUGAAUUCUCAUAUGAUCCCUUUUAACUUAAUUUCUAAAAAAAUAUUAUUUGCUCCUCAGUAAGGAAUAGCUCUAAUUGGACUGGUAACUUUAGUGAUAUGAUUUGUCUGUAACAGGCUGAAUCGCCCCACUCCCAAACUCCUGGUCGUGAUACUGGAUAUUUGUUAUGCCACUUUUAGUUUGCAUGAGGUAUCUUCCAGGAAGUAUUAGUUAUUAACUUGUGUUCUACUAAACUGUAGAUAUUUAUUUCCUGUUCUGGAAGAUUUCUUGGAGUGUCCAUCUGUGCAUUCCUGGUGCCUAGUGUAGUCUUGCUAAUGGAAUAGCACCUUUAUUGGUGCUACUUAGGGGUUGGUAGCUUACAAUCAAUCUACUUGGAACGUAUCCAAAUAAACUGGAUAUUUUUAUACAGUC
rnacentral:lncRNA from 1 species